rnacentral:lncRNA from 1 species
UCGUGCGCUGUGCAGAAAGGUCAUUGUUGUUUGUCCUCCUACUCCAGUGAGAACUUCACUGCACCCCAAUCCUGACCAGUUGGAGUUGUUCAUUUUCUUCUGUUGGAACGCUUCUAGAGACUGAACUGUUACCUCGGAUUUUUUAAAAAGCCUCGUG